rnacentral:lncRNA from 1 species
GUAUGUAAAAUAUGAACAUCUGGCUUUAAAAUCACUUUUAAGUCAACCAACAUUAUUGUAAAUAUUUGUGUAAAUAUGAACUAUGUGUUUUGUCAAAUCGCCUUGGCUUCAUUUUGUCUGUUAUAAUAAUGAAGACAGUAAUACCAUAAUACUCAGUUGUACCUUUGAGAUUUACAUAUAUGUUUAAAUCAGUGUACAUGUGGAGUGUUUGUGUGUGUGUUUGUUCAUGUGCGUGUGUGUGCGUCUAGUGUGUGUUUGUCAGUGUGUGUGUGUAUGUGUGUGUGUGUGUGUAGUGUGUUUGUCAGUGUGUGUAGUGUGUUUGUCAGUGUGUGUGUAUUGUGUGUUUGUCAGUGUGUGUGUGUAGUGUGUGUUUGUCAGUGUGUGUGUGUAGUGUGUGUUUGUCAGUGUGUGUCUGCAGUGUGUGUGUGUAGUGUGUGUUUGUCAGUGUGAGUGUGUAGUGUGUGUUUGUCAGUGUGUGUGUGUGUAGUCUGUGUGUGCAGUGUGUGUUUGUCAGUGUUUGUGUGCAGUGUGUGUUUGUCAGUCUGUGUGUGCGUGUAGUGUAUGUUUGUCAGUGUGUGUGUGUGUGUGUGUGUGUGUGUGUGUGUGUGUGUGUGUGUGUGUGUGUGUGUGUGUUUGUCAGUAUGUGCGUGUAGUGUGUGUGUAGUGUAUGUUUGUCAGUGUGUGUGUGUGUAGUGUGUGUUUGUCAGUGUGUGUGUGUGUAGUGUGUGUUUGUCAGUGUGUGUGUGUGUGUUGUAUGUUUGUCAGUGUGUGUGUGUGUGUGUGUAGUGUGUGUUUGUCAGUGUGUGUGUGCAGUGUGUGUCUGCAGUGUGUGUUUGUCCGUGUGCGCGUGUGUGUGUGUGUGUGUGUGUGUGUUUGUCAGAAUGUGUAUGUAGUGUGUGUUUGUCAGUGUGUGUGUGUGUGUGUGUGUGUGUGUGUGUGUGUGUGUGUGUUUGUCAGUGUGUGUGUGUGUAGUGUGUGUUUGUCAGUGUGUGUGUGUGUGUGUGUGUGUGUAGUGUGUGUUUGUCAGUGUGUGUGUGUGUAGUGUGUGUUUGUCAGUGUGUGUGUUUGUCAGUGUGUGUGUGUGUGUGUAGUGUGUUUGUCAGUGUGUGUAGUGUGUUUGUCAGUGUGUGUGUAGUGUGUGCUUGUCAGUGUGUGUGUGUAGUGUGUGUUUGUCAGUGUGUGUGUGUAGUGUGUGUUUGUCAGUGUGUGUCUGCAGUGUGUGUGUGUAGUGUGUGUUUGUCAGUGUGUGUUUGUCAGUGUGUGUGUGUAGUGUGUGUUUGUCAGUGUGAGUGUGUAGUGUGUGUUUGUCAGUGUGUGUGUGUGUAGUCUGUGUGUGCAGUGUGUGUUUGUCAGUGUGUGUGUGCAGUGUGUGUUUGUCAGUCUGUGUGUGCGUGUAGUGUAUGUUUGUCAGUGUGUGUGUGUGUGUGUGUGUGUGUGUGUGUGUGUGUGUGUGUGUGUGUGUGUGUGUGUGUGUGUGUGUGUUUGUCAGUGUGUGCGUGUAGUGUGUGUGUAGUGUAUGUUUGUCAGUGUGUGUGUGUGUGUGUAGUGUGUGUUUGUCAGUGUGUGUGUGUGUAGUGUGUGUUUGUCAGUGUGUGUGUGUGUGUGUGUAGUGUAUGUUUGUCAGUGUGUGUGUGUGUGUGUAGUGUAUGUUUGUCAGUGUGUGUGUGUGUGUGUGUGUGUGUGUGUGUGUGUGUGUGUGUGUGUGUGUGUGUGUGUGUGUGUGUGUGUGUGUGUGUAGUGUGUGUGUAGUGUAUGUUUGUCAGUGUGUGUGUGUGUGUAGUGUGUGUUUGUCAGUGUGUGUGUGCAGUGUGUGUCUGCAGUGUGUGUUUGUCCGUGUGCGGUGUGUGUGUGUGUUUGUCAGAAUGUGUAUGUAGUGUGUGUUUGUCAGUGUGUGUGUGUGUGUGUUUGUCAGUGUGUGUGUGUGUAGUGUGUGUUUGUCAGUGUGUGUGUGUGUGUGUGUGUGUGUGUGUGUGUGUUGUGUGUUGGUCAGUGUGUGUGUGUGUAGUGUGUGUUUGUCAGUGUGUGUUUGUCAGUGUGUGUGUGUGUGUGUGUGUAGUGUGUGUUUGUCAGUGUGUGUGUGUAGUGUGUGUUUGUCAGUGUGUGUUUGUCAGUGUGUGUGUGUGUGUGUGUGUGUGUGUGUGUGUGUGUGUAGUGUGUGUUUGUCAGUGUGUGUUUGUCAGUGUGUGUGUGUGUGUGUGUGUGUGUGUGUGUGUGUGUGUGUGUGUGUGUGUGUGUGUGUGUGUGCAGUGUGUGUUUGUCAGUGUGUGUAUGUAAUGUGUGUUUGUCAGUGUGUGUGUGUUUGUAGAGAAAGAGGAAGUGUCUACUAGAACCACCACAGAGAGAACAGACUGAGGACAGACCUUAUUGAAGGUACUGUAACAGGAGUAGUGUAGGGUGUAGUGAAGGUACUGUAACAGGAGUAGUGUAGGGUGUUGUGAAGGUACUGUAACAGGAGUAGUGUAGGGUGUAGUGAAGGUACUGUAACAGGAGUAGUGUAGGAUGUAGUGAAGGUACUGUAACAGGAGUAGUGUAGGGUGUUGUGAAGGUGCUGUAACAGGAGUUGUGUAGUGAAGGUACUGUGACAGGAGUAGUGUAGGGUAUAGUGAAAGUACUGUAACAGGAUUAGUGUAGGGUGUAGUGAAGGUACUGUAACAGGAGUAGUGUAGGGUGUAGUGAAGGUACUGUAACAGGAGUAGUGUAGGGUGUUGUGAAGGUACUGUAACAGGAGUAGUGUAGGGUGUAGUGAAGGUACUGUAACAGGAGUAGUGUAGGGUGUUGUGAAGGUGCUGUAACAGGAGUUGUGUAGUGAAGGUACUGUGACAGGAGUAGUGUAGGGUGUAGUGAAAGUACUGUAACAGGAUUAGUGUAGGGCGUAGUGAAAGUACUGUAACAGGAUUAGUGUAGGGUGUAGUGAAGGUACUGUAACAGGAGUAGUGUAGGGUGUAGUGAAGGUGCUGCAACAGGAGUAGUGUAGGGUGUAGUGAAGGUACUGUGACAGGAGUAGUGUAGGGUGUAGUGAAGGUACUGUAACAGGAGCAGUGUAGGGUGUAGUGAAGGUACUGUAACAGAAGUAGUGAAGAUACUGUAACAGGAGUAGGUUAGGGUGUAGUGAAGGUACUGUAACAGGAGUAUUGUAGGGUGUAGUGAAGGUACUGUAACAGGAGUAGUGUAGGGUGUAGUGAAGGUACUGUAACAGGAGUAGUGUAGGGUGUAGUGAAGGUACUGUAACAGGAGUAGUGUAGGGUGUAGUGAAAGUACUGUGACAGGGGUAGUGUAGGGUGUAGUGAAGGUACUGUAACAGGAGUAGUGUAGGGUGUAGUGAAGGUACUGUUACAGGAGUAGUGUAGGGUGUAGUGAAAGUACUGUGACAGGGGUAGUGUAGGGUGUAGUGAAGGUACUGUAACAGGAGUAGUGUAGGGUGUAGUGAAGGUACUGUUACAAGAGUAAGAUUAGUGGUGCCAGCCUUUUUCGUUGGUAACCAACCUUCGUUGUGUUUUUACUGUAGCAAGGCAAACUUAAUUUUGUAGUGAGGUAGCCUUGCUUCUAUCGGACGGUACCUUCCCUCCCAUAUGCCGCUGAAAGGGUGAGCCUUUGAAAAUCAUCUGUAUCCACCUGUUUGUCAGUCAUUUUGAGACGAAGUUUCAUGAAAACCUUGAUUUUAUCCUCCGUGGACUGAUAGUUGUAGUUUUCAUCCUCCUUUAUUUUCAGUAUGAGAAUAUAAUUCUUCAUACGUCUGCACUUCUGAUCAAGUCAUUCCACUUUCAUUGUUUUAUGAUCAUACCGUAGCCUCUCUGUAGUGGAGGUCAGGGAGUCCACAGUCAUUUCAAUAUCUUAUUUUAGGCUCCUAUUUCAUCAUUUUAUUG